UUCCGGUUGAUCCUGCCGGAGGUCAUUGCUAUCGGAGUCCGAUUUAGCCAUGCUAGUUGCACGAGUUUAGACUCGUAGCGGAAAGCUCAGUAACACGUGGUCAAGCUACCCUGUAGCGACGGAUAACCUCGGGAAACUGAGGCUAAUACGUCAUAACGCUUGACAUCUGGAGACUGAUUCGAGCUGGAAACGCCUUUGGUGCUACAGGAUGCGACUGCGGUCGAUUAGGUAGACGGUGGGGUAACGGCCCACCGUGCCCAUAAUCGGUACGGGUUGUGAGAGCAAGAGCCCGGAGACGGUAUCUGAGACAAGAUACCGGGCCCUACGGGGCGCAGCAGGCGCGAAACCUUUACACUGUACGGAAGUGCGAUAGGGGGACUCCGAGUGUGUGGGCAUAGAGCUCACACUUUUGUAGACCGUAAGGUGGUCUACGAAUAAGGACUGGGCAAGACCGGUGCCAGCCGCCGCGGUAAUACCGGGCAGUCCGAGUGAUGACCGAUUUUAUUGGGCCUAAAGCGUCCGUAGCUGGCCAGGCAAGUCCGUUGGGAAAUCCACCCGCUUAACGGGUGGGCGUCCAGCGGAAACUGCUUGGCUUGGGACCGGAAGAUCCGAGGGGUACGUCCGGGGUAGGAGUGAAAUCCUGUAAUCCUGGACGGACCGCCGAUGGCGAAAGCACCUCGGAAGGACGGAUCCGACAGUGAGGGACGAAAGCUAGGGUCUCGAACCGGAUUAGAUACCCGGGUAGUCCUAGCUGUAAACGAUGUCCGCUAGGUGUGGCACAGGCUACGAGCCUGUGCUGUGCCGUAGGGAAGCCGAAAAGCGGACCGCCUGGGAAGUACGUCUGCAAGGAUGAAACUUAAAGGAAUGGGCGGGGGAGCGCUGCAGCCGGAGAACCUGGGG
rnacentral:rRNA from 1 species